GGUUAAGCGACUAAGCGUACACGGUGGAUGCCCUGGCAGUCAGAGGCGAUGAAGGACGUGCUAAUCUGCGAUAAGCGUCGGUAAGGUGAUAUGAACCGUUAUAACCGGCGAUUUCCGAAUGGGGAAACCCAGUGUGUUUCGACACACUAUCAUUAACUGAAUCCAUAGGUUAAUGAGGCGAACCGGGGGAACUGAAACAUCUAAGUACCCCGAGGAAAAG
rnacentral:rRNA from 2 species